UCCCGUAGAAAGGAGAAGUUUCACCAUGUGCAACAUGUCACUGCACUAGUAAAAUCUUGUCGAUUUUCUCCCUGUGAAUUUUCAUCGGUUAUACGAAAUCGUAGUCCAUAGAAUGGACAUUGCAAUCAAUUCCGGUUGAACGUUUCACGGAUCAUUGUUCCAUUUCGCAACGAGUACGUUUGUCCAUGCGGUUACAUGCAUUGUUGUUACAUUUCUGCCAAUAGAAGAAGCCUGUUUUCAUGAAGUAGAUAUCAACUACACACAAAACAAUAUGGUGACAAUGUGGUGAAAUAAAUACUGGCAAAACGCGCAAUUAAAAUGUAUAAUGAAACGUUAAAUCGCACGAGAAUUGCAGUUCUAGUAAGUGAGUUACAUCAUUCCUAUCAACAUAUCGCUCGCUCGUUCUUUUUUCCUCCCUGAUAAUGGUUCGUUCAGGAAUUACUUGGCCGAUGUUCCAACAACAAAAGUGAUUCGACCGGAUUAUUACAAGAAAGUGUAGCAAAUGCGUAAUUCGAUGGAAUACAUCGAAUAACUCGGAAUUACAUUGUGGUUGGACAGAGAUCAUCGUGGAAAGGAGGGUUGAAACCACGUAGUGGACGAGAGAAGGAACGGUCGCGACGCGUUGGCGAGAAGAAAACAGCUGGAUCGCCAUUCGUUUUCGCGGUUAUUGUAGACAGACCCGGUUCACAAUAUACAUACACUUUGUUAUCAAUGUACGUGUAAGCGCGUACCUACGAAUUCCUUCCGGAGCCAUGCUCGUUCCACUAAAUACGCGAGAUCCAAUUUGGACGAAUCCCAAAAUUCGAAGAAAUAGUACCACGCAUAUAUGCCCGCAUAUACAUACAUGCAUUCAAUUUCAACCAAAAACUUUCCAGCAAAUGUUAUUGGUACCUUCGACUUCAUUCUCUAUUAUUUCUAUACUUCUACUUUGAUGAGAUUUGCCUUCCGUGAAAUCUCUUUUUCGAGACAAAAACAUUCGUUCUGAACUUAUUAGAUCCAAUACAAAGAUAAGAUUAUUGUAUCUAACAAGUGUAAAUGUUUCUGUUAAUCGUCCUCUAACUGGAAAUUCACGAUUCAACCUGGUCUCAACUAAACCAGAUACAUAGGCAAGCAACAAGAGUCAACUCGUGAAACUACACAAGACGUUAAACUCAAGGAAGAUGAAAGUACGAAGUCUGCUUGUGACGCGAGUUAACUUCAAACGUUCGAAACGACAAGAUUUCAACUCGGUCGGUUGAUGACAGCUUUGUUACCGACUGUACCAUACUGGUUCCAUACAUAUGCAAAAACAUUCGGUACUUACCUCCUUGCGAAGAUGAUACGAAACAGUUACAAGAUAAAGAAAAUAAAAGAUUCGAGAAAAAACUGGAAAAGAAAUAAUCUAACCAAUAUUCCAAUAUAACGAGAGAACAAACAUAAGUGGAAUAACUCGGAAGUUAAGAUAAACAGAAUUUAUAAUGGAAAUUUCUUUUCAUAAUCGGUCGAGUUUUACGAAACUUCCUACGUAUUUUAAUCCUGGAUCCUGAAACGAGUUAUGGUUAACCCGGUUGCUGCUGAAUUAACCAGAAAAUAAGACCAAACAUCGAAAUUUCGCAAGUUUUUAAAUUAUAAUUCUUAUUGCGUAGUGUGUAGCAAUUAACGUUUCUAUUCUUCUAAUAUUUCUUUUUCAAUUAAAUUAUCUUUAAUAUUCUUUAAUUUAAUUUAAAAAAUAGAAGAAAAAAGUAAAAACAACUAAAAUUAACUUUUUAUUUAUCUUUUAAAUAUUAUAUAUAAUAAUGGAUUGUACAAAUUAAAGUGAAUUUGAAGUCGAAAUACAAAAUUAAAUGAAUAUUAUUAUUAAAUAAAAAUAAAUUAAUAUUUAUUUUCAAAAAACAUUCUGGUUUCUAUGUUUCGAGUACAUGACAUAUUUCUAAAAAACAAGAUUAGAAGAAGUGAUGAACAAUGCAAACAAUGAACAAAUAAUUAUUUCCAAAAUGAAUUGAGAAAGAAUUAAAGUUCUCAGUUUAGGAGACCACUGGAAAUUAGCUAACUUUUCCGACGGUUUCUCCAGGAUAAACUAAUUUCGAGCACCAGAAACGAAUCGCUGUUCAUCAUAAUGCGAACUCUGCGACAUUCACCAGUCGAAACACGAAUCCGGACGGUCUGUCCAGCUGUUUAACGCAUAUCUCCAGCAUACCAAGCUACUUGCCCGUGAAAGAUUAUUUCCCAACAAUGAUGGACACAGAAAUUGGAACUGGAAGAGAAUCCUCAGAAACAUCUACAAUGGUUUAGAUAGUCGCCAGAAACGAUUUUGGAGAAAGUGACCAGUAGUGACCACUGACUAGCCACAAAGUUCACAUGCUGUCCACAAGAAAUAGUCGGACUCGAGGGACAAUUGAUGGUGAUAACAAUAGUUAUAAAUUCCAUGAUAAAUGAAACGGUACCAUCUUCGUUCUUUUAAUUAUUCAAUUUGAAUCUUUUCAAAGUAUGAGAAAAAAGAUCGUAUGAGGAAAGCUUUUAAAACCAGAGACUUUAAGGGAAAAGAAAAGAUGUACAGGAGAUCCAGAUAGGAAGGCUAAGGAAACGAGAAUUCACUGAUAAGGAGACACAGAGGACUAAGGAGAGAUUCAGAGGAAGAAACACUGUGAAAAAGUAGAUAGACAAAAGAAGAAAGAAAUGCAUAAAAGAGAAAAACUGAAAGAAGGAAGACUUUCAGAAUCUAUAAGCGGAAACUUAGUGAAGGAAUGAUGCGUGAAAAGAAAAAAAUUUCUCUAAAAAUCUAUAAAUAAAGAUAAAGGAUAAUGCAUGAAGAAAGGAAAAAUUAAGAAAAUAUUAAACGUGACAGAAAUUAAACGUAAUAUAAAAAAUAAUACAUAAUACAUAAUAAAAAUAAUACAUAAUAUAAUACAUAAUAUAAAAAAUAAAAGGUAGAGAAAAUAUAUAAUUGCAUAAGUUGUCAUAAUCUAACUCUAUCGGGCAUCUUGCGUAAAGUGAAAUUAUCUUUUACUUACGCUUAUGU